UCCAAAGCAACCAAGGUUUGACACCAUGACACCUCCGCAGGACCAAGAUGCUGAAGCCCCACCUCCGCAGGACCAAGAUGCUGAAGCCCCACCUCCCCAUGAUGAAGACGCCUUUGUUAAUGACACAGACAGUGAUGCGGAUACCAUCAUUCUGGAAUUGCCCGUUCCUUCUGCACCCUCAGGAGCCCAAGAUGUUCCAGAGCUAGAGAGGACUGAGUGUGUAUUUCUAACCAGAAAAUCAUUACGGAUCAGUUCAUCUUCAGAUGACAGCUUUGCAGCAGAAUCUAGCAGCAUUGAAAACAGUGACGACGAUUUUGUGCCAGAUUCACAAGAAUCUGACUGUUCUGAGGAAUCUCAAGAGGCGAAAAGCUCAUCUCCCAAUGUGACCCUAGACAGCAGCGAUGAUAAUACAUCUUCAAUGAUUGCAACCCAACAGUCUUCCUCUCUUGAAACUACACCCAGAAGGCUAGGAAGAAAGGAAAGGAAUCAGGAGGACCGUGGAGAGCACCGAGGAGGCCGAGUGGCUCUGUUCCUGGACAGCAGGCGGCAGAGAGACUAUACAUGA
rnacentral:lncRNA from 1 species